rnacentral:rRNA from 1 species
ACGAACGCUGGCGGCGUGCUUAACACAUGCAAGUCGAACGGGUCUGCCCUGUUUUUUGCGGGGUGGGUCAGUGGCGAACGGGUGAGUAACACGUGAGUAACCUGCCCCUCACUUCUGGAUAACCGCUUGAAAGGGUGGCUAAUACGGGGUGUUCUGGCUGUGCCGCAUGGUGUGGCUGGGAAAGAUUCACUUUUGUGGUGUUUUGGUGGGGGAUGGGCUCGCGGCCUAUCAGCUUGUUGGUGGGGUGAUGGCCUGCCAAGGCUUUGACGGGUAGCCGGCCUGAGAGGGUGGGCGGUCACACGGGGACUGAGAUACGGCCCAGACUCCUGCGGGAGGCAGCAGUGGGGGGUAGUGCACAAUGGGCGGAAGCCUGAUGCAGCGACGUCGCGUGAGGGAUGGAGGCCUUCGGGUUGUGAACCUCUUUCGCCGGUGAAGAAGGUCCUGCUCUUUGUGGUGGGGUUGACGGUAGCCGGGUUAUGAAGCGCCGGCUAACUACGUG